rfam:Morganella morganii subsp. morganii KT, complete genome.
GGAUUUUCGUUUAACGCCUGCAUAGCAGGCCUUUUGGAAG